CCCAGACUCCUACGGGAGGCAGCAGUGGGGAAUAUUGGGCAAUGGGCGCAAGCCUGACCCAGCAACGCCGCGUGAAGGAAGAAGGCUUUCGGGUUGUAAACUUCUUUUCUCAGGGACGAAGCAAGUGACGGUACCUGAGGAAUAAGCCACGGCUAACUACGUGCCAGCAGCCGCGGUAAUACGUAGGUGGCAAGCGUUAUCCGGAUUUACUGGGUGUAAAGGGCGUGUAGGCGGGAAAGCAAGUCAGAUGUGAAAGCCAUGGGCUCAACCGGUGGCCUGCAUUUGAAACUGUUUUUCUUGAGUACUGGAGAGGCAGACGGAAUUCCUAGUGUAGCGGUGAAAUGCGUAGAUAUUAGGAGGAACACCAGUGGCGAAGGCGGUCUGCUGGACAGCAACUGACGCUGAGGCGCAAAAGCGUGGGGAGCAAACAGGAUUAGAUACCCUAGUAUG
rnacentral:rRNA from 1 species